UAUCGUUCCCGGCAGCAUCGUGUGGUGGAGCCGAGCACUUGAAUCUUCCUGCAAGUUCAGCCACAGAGCGGCGGGGCGGAGCCUCCCCCUGAGGGCGGGAAAAGGAUAGAAGCGCCAAAGUGUUUUUCCUGGCCAGAGGCGUCCAUCUUGGUUUUCUGACGCCGUCAACUUGGGUGUGACAUCAAUCCCAGGUCCGACUUCAAAGGUGGUCUCAUCAGCAGCUCUGUUUGGAUGAAGAGGAACCUGCAGCCGGUUGUUGCUGCAGGAUGCCUCCUGCGCUCUAAAGGGAAGUUGAGUCACUCGAGCGGAGAUGUUUUUUUCUCUCAUUUCUCCUUUUGUGUUUCUUCACUUCUUCUGCGUGUUGACCAACUAACUGCUGGUUGCAUAAGGAGACAGUCUGAAACUAACAGUUCUGGUGAAAUUCAAGGCAGGAGCACUGGAGAAACACGCUGCCACAAAAACGACUGAUUUUUAAAUGAGGUUUUGAAUGGAGGACGCCUGUUUCCUCUUGAAGGAGGCAAACAGUUUCUAAAAGAUUGUUACUGAUGAAACAGUCAAAGAAAAUGAUGAAAUCAUCUUCUCUCCUUUCAGGUGUGUCUCAGCUUAUCUGCUGACCAAUCUGCUGAUCAGUGUUGGUGGAUUGUCAAGCAGCACAGGAUGUGGUGGGAGGGGAGGAGGAGUGAGGCACACAGGAAGAAACGCUGUGUUAUGAAACCUUAUAAGUACAUCAGUAUCUUGGAAAGCGGCCAUGCACGAGAAGAUACCCAAAGCUGCCUGAGCGACAGCGCUGCCUCUGGCUGGUCGCAGCGCCCCCUGCAGGCGGGAGGUUGGACGCCGCCUUCACAGAGUGGAAGUCUUCAGAGGGAAAAGGUGAGGAGGAGACUGUGAAGUGUGAUCUGGCCACAGGGAGGAAGGAGGAGAAGGGGAGAGCUGCGCAGGACAUUGGGAACCCUGGCAGAGUUUUGAGAUGCUCGUCAAUUGAAGGAUUACACGAUCUGAUGAUUUUACAGAGGGGCCAGAGGUCGCUCACUCGCCGGUCCAUCUGCCAUGCUGCGUCUGGAGGGAACCAAUCAACAGAGAGAGAUGCCAAGAAAAGAGGACCAAUCAGAGGAGGGGAUGGAGACAUUGGGCGGGCCACAGACUUACACUGCAGCGUCCCAGGAGACAGGAUGUCCUCGUCCAUGUCGUCGAGGUCAUCGGAGAGGAGGAGGUGCUGAGGGGUCGGAGGUCGCAGGCCGAGGAAGGACGGGUCCAGGUUGAGGGCGACGGCCAGCGCUCCCAGGCCCGGGUUAUUGACCACACAGAACCCCGUCAGAGACUCGAUCUGCUGCCAGCGGUGCAGCUUCUCCCGCAGGGCGGCCGUCACCUCGGCCAGGGCCUGUCUGAGGGGGAGGGGGGGCGUUAAUGUGUCUACGUGCAAUGAGGUCACUUCUGUUAAAUAAAAUGUAACCAUAUAAUAAAAUGACAAUGAAGCUGAAAUUUGAACCUAAAA